AACAUGCUUCCUUAGAUCCACCUUUGUGGAUGAGUCUUGGGCUGAGUUCUACUUGUAAACUUUCUUGUUCCUGUAGUUUCCAGUCAAAGAACAUCCGGCAACUUUUUUGGUUGUAUAGUCAAAGGUGCUGAGUCAUGGCAUGUGAGAUCAUAUACCUGCAUGCUAGUCUCAGGUUCUGAUGGGAAUUGGCAUGC
rnacentral:snoRNA from 1 species